GGUGCAUUCUUUCUUCUUUAAGGAUGUUCCAAACAGUUGAUUUGGCCACACCUAAUGAUUUUGCUAUCUCUAUGAUGGGUUUGAUUUGUUUUUUUAGCCUAAUGAUGGCUUGCUUCACUGAUAGUUGUCACGAUUCUGGAACCUAACACGCUAACAGAACACAGAGAGGAAAGAUGCUAUACCAGUCCUUAGAGUGGCUGGGCUAAGCACACUAAGAAUGGUCAGGAGACAAG